AAUGGCGGCGGCGAGCGUCUCCAACGUGGAGCGUCCGGAGCUCGGCUUCGAGAGCAUGAGCCACUUCGCCCUCGAUACCGACGACCUCGCGGACAUGUUGCAGAACAUGGACUUCUGCUCCGGUGUGGGAGAUGACAGAGAAGAUGAUUGUGAAGUGGGAGAAGAGUCGGAACUCGACUUUGGCUGCAGAUAUUAAAACAUGAGCUCUUGUAGGAUUAUUGCUCCUCAUCAUCCUCCUCGUCCUCCUCAUCCUCAUCCUCAUCCUCCUCAUCCUCAUCAUCAUCAUCAUCCUCCUCAUCCUCGUCCUCAUCUUCGUCCUCCUCAUCCUCAUCCUCGUCCUUGUCCUCAUCAUCCUCAUCCUCAUCGUCCUCAUCCUCAUCCUCCACAUCCUCGUCCUCAUCAUCAUCCUCCUCAUCCUCACCCCCCUCUUCCUCAUCCUCACCCUCCUCUUCCUCAUCAUCCUCAUCAUCCUCAUCAUCCUCAUACUCCUCGUCCUCAUCCUUGUCCUCAUCCUCUUCGUCCUCUCCUCAUCCUCAUCCUCGUCCUCAUCCUCACCCUCCUCAUCCUCAUCCUCACCCUCCUCUUCCUCCUCACCCUCCUCGUCCUCCUCAUCCUCCUCGUCCUCCUCUUCCUCCUCAUCCUCCUCGUCCUCAUCCUCCUCUUCCUCACCCUCCUCAUCCUCCUCGUCCUCGUCCUCCUCCUCCUCGUCCUCAUCAUCCUCAUCGUCCUCAUCCUCCACAUCCUCGUCCUCAUCCCUCCUCAUCCUCACCCCCCUCUUCCUCAUCCUCACCCUCCUCCUUCCUCAUCAUCCUCAUCUCCUCGUCCUCAUCCUUGUCCUCAUCCUCUUCGUCCUCAUCCUCAUCCUCAUCCUCGUCCUCAUCCUCACCCUCCUCAUCCUCAUCCUCACCCUCCUCUUCCUCUUCCUCACCCUCCUCGUCCUCCUCAUCCUCCUCGUCCUCCUCUUCCUCCUCAUCCUCCUCGUCCUCAUCCUCCUCUUCCUCAUCCUCCUCUUCCUCACCCUCCUCAUCCUCCUCGUCCUCAUCCUCCUCUUCCUCCUCGUCCUCAUCCUCCUCUUCCUCAUCCUCAUCCUCCUCGUCCUCCUCGUCCUCGACAUCAGGCCGAGUCGUUGGACGACACUGAUCUCAUGUUGUCCGUCUUGUGUUCUCUUCUCUCCAGGUCCCUGCUGCCGUCCGGAGGACGUGGAGGUUUUACCAUAAUCCACAUAGUUCAAGACGGGAACAGACACGAAAUCAUGAAACAUGUAAACGAAACCCCCUGGAGAUGGUCAGAAAUAAGACAUUGUCCCGUAAACCUUCUGCCUGUUUCCUCCUGCUGCAGAGAGGACAAGGACUUGGCCGCGUUUCGAAACCUCCCACAUCGUCGUCUUUUGUUACCUAGAAGAAAAGCCGUGUGUAUGUUGUGUGCAAAUAUAUCGUCCUAUGUUUAG
rnacentral:lncRNA from 1 species